CUCAAAGAUUAAGCCAUGCAAGUGGUUAUUAUAACCCGACAGUUUAAAUAAGUGUUUGGUAAUGAUCAGUAACUUAAACUCACUCACGUACUCAAAAACGAAAAUAUAGAUUACUAACGCGAUCUAUAUUUAGUGAAACGCUUACCACGUUAUCACUUAUGCAACUGCAGACAGCUGCUUAAUACAGUCACACUUGUCUUGACUUGGCUAACUUUUAGAGACAUACACUUGACACUGUAUGUACGCCACCGCACAAAAUUAUUUACACACAAAUGUACUCCACCACGCAUGGAUGUCUUUUAUGCACGCACGCAUAUGCGUUGUAGGCAAUUUGUUGAUGUACUCGCGCUCAAUUUUCCACCGCACACAAACGACUUAUGACCGCAAAUUAUAUAUUAGCGACCGCGGAUUUUAAUCUUGCCAAAAGAGCUAUCUUUGCAACUUGCUAUAGAACCAGACCGCACUGACUGCUCGUUUGAGACUUUAACCAGUCUCAUAUACAAGAGGUUUUAAAAUGCAACUGCCAAUUUGCGCGUCGUACACAGUGCGUGUCGCGAGGUUGAUUGUCGUGUUGGGUGUAUCUUCAAAUACCGUCUAUAAACGUGUGUGUGUGUGUAUGUAUUGGAUAUUUGUGCACGCGUGUUGUAUAUACGUCCCUGUACUUAUUAUGUGUGUGUGGUACUAUGUACGUGUCGUCGUAUGCUCUCUAAAAAAACACACACACAAAAUAAAUGCUUUUGACGGAUAACUCAGGGAAAGUUUGGCUAAUACGUACGAACUAAAAAAAAAAACUGGYUUAUUGUCGUGUUGAAUUGUCGUGUCAAAAAGAACCACUCUCUUUGUGUUUGACAUUGUGUCUACAACGUUCCUCUCUCACUAACACACACACACCCCUUAUUGGAAUAAUUGCAUUCACUCUCGUCUUUCACAUAAAACCAACUCACCCAAACGGUUUUGUGUUCACGCACACGCGCACAUUUCUCACACUUUAAAAAAUGAAUAUCGCUUUUCGCGUUCAGUGGUUGGAGUUUACCAAACGCAACAUGAGAGACACUGAAUACGCAGUAAUUAAGGGACUUGCGCCCUUUUUUACAUACGCUGAGUUGAUAUGAUACGAUUUUCUCGUAUUAUACAUGUCAUACAAGCAUCUAUAGCAUCAAGUCACAGGGUUGGCAAGUGUAUUAUUGAACCUUCAAAGCAGUCACGCAUACGGAAGAGUAGUUUCUGAUCCCAUAGAAGGAGCACAGUACAUUGAGAGACGGCUCUUAGUUCUAAGGAACGCAGCAGGCGCGUAAAUUGUCCAAUAAUAGUACAAUUUAUUCUUUUACCCUAACGAGGUAAAAUUAAAAAGUACAUGUGAAUUUUAAAUUCGCUGUAUUUUUACCACAACACAAACCUUAAACUAACGUCGAGUAAAAAAAUAAUAUAUUGAGACAGUGACAAGCUGUAACGGUUGAGUAUAAUAAUUAUGACGAGUGUCUGACUUCUGCCGCUACUUCGGUAGCUUGGCGAGUGUCGACACUUUGUGUGCUCAAUUGGAAUGCGGUGAGUUUAAAACACUCAGAACCUGGUGAUUGAUAUUGGCGUAAUGCCUUUAUCAUUUCAUCGUAUCUGAAUCUUCAAGUGGAGGGCAAGUCUGGUGCCAGCAGCCGCGGUAAUACCAGCUCCACUGGCCUAUACAAUCAUUGUUGCGGUUAAGAGGCUCGUAGUUGGAUUGAAUAUAUUAAAUUUUACGACGUUGUACGUAUAGAUUUUGUCUCAGUAUAAACGUUGUAUAUCGUACUAACUAACACCACCCACCUUAUUCAACACUGUGAACAAAUCAGAGUGUAUCAAACAUGUCUUUUUUUACACGCACUGAAUGUCCCAUCAUGGAAUGUUGCUUUGCUAUCCGGUAAUUAAUUACACGCUUUAACACACUUAUAUACACGUCGAUGGAGAUAGUUGGAGUCAACAGUACUACUGGGCGAGCGGUGAAAUGCAUUGACCCUAGUAUGACUACCAAAAGCGAAAGCAGUUGGCUAGGCUAUACUCUUUGUGGAUUUGCUCAGUUGAUUGUUGUGUAACACACACACCCCUUUGAGUUGCUUUGUGCAGUGGCCGUGUGCUGUGUUGUUGUUAUUAUUCAUGUAUAAGGUUGUUAAUUAUAUUUUUGUACGCGCCGCUCGUGGACGAUAUUUGAUUUUGUGAGUUUGUGUGUGCUGCGUAAUUUUAUUGCCACCCACAAUGCGCUUCGGUGCUGCGUGCUGUGUCUUUAUUUUUACCACGCGCGCAAACGUACAUCCUCAUUCAUCUAAAACGACGUGUGUGCAUUUAUAUAUAGUUAUAUAUCUUUUGUGUUUAAUAUAAUACAGUACAGUACUCACCACUCACAUUGCCUUUGUCGUGGAAGUGUUGUUGUGGUUUUGUUAUGCGCAGUGAACAUCUUUUGCAACGCACUCACGCCAAUCGCAAGAGCGGUGUGUGUUGGCUUUAUUUUAUACACACAGCGUACAUUCUCAUACAUCUGACACGCACGCACGCACGCACGCWCGCASGSGAAUUAGAUUAGUAAUUACGCAUUCAACAUUACCACCUCUACACGACCACACACAUCGAAUCACUCACUCAAACAACAAUACWCUGUUGCAUAGKACACUUUACAACGMAGAACGAAGGUUGGGGGAUCAAAGAGGAUCAGAUACCCUCGUCGUCCCAUUUUUACAUCAAACGAUGGGCUCUCAAUUGCACACUUUACCGUGUGUAGUUGUUAUAUUAUAUUCCCAACCUGCAACAUUUUUAGCUGACUUGAGCUUGUGUUUUCGAACACGCUCGUCGCUUUAAAUUUAUUGCUAACUCAGGAGUUUUAAUAUUCUCUGCACACACAUUCUUUACGAUAGUAUUAAUCAAACGUGUAUUUUUCUUCGGAAUUUUCACUUUGUUCUAUCUUGAUUUUCGGAGCUUUGCGCUCAAUUUAUUUGGUGAGAUGUAAGCACGCGUGAUUGUAUAAUGGUACGUUGUUGCAUUCGUGCAACACUACUCAUUUUUACUUUCACAAUCUUUGUGUGACGCACGUGUUAGGCCCGGGCUUACUGCAGAAAUGUUUAGGACACUUCUUUCCUGGGGUAGUAUGCAUGCAAGUGUGAAACUUGAAGGAAUUGACGGAAGGGCACCACAAGAACGCGUGGAUCAUGUGGCUUAAUUUGACUCAACGCGGGAAAUCUUACCGGGUCCGGACACACUGAGGAUUGACAGGUUAUGGGGCGGGUUGAAUUUUCAAUCUCUUCGGGGAUUAAUUUUCUCCCACCUCAAAAAUAUGCUAGUCCUUUCAUGAUUAUGUGAUAGGUGGUGCAUGGCCGUUCUUAGUUCGUGGAGUGAUCUGUCUGCUUAAUUGCGUUUCACUAAAGGCGUCAUUAAUUUUUUGUGCCUGUGUUUGACCCCGCACUUCGGUGCGCGCGCGUCUUUCACACACAAUUACUUUGACGUCUGAAAGCAACGAACGUGACCGUAACCUCUUGUUGCCUUCUCUUCUCUUCGGAGAAUGCUGUUUUUUUCUUCACGGAAUUAAUUGCAGUAUACGGAGGCUUAAUACUCAGUAACUAGAGGGACCGCUGUUACUUUCUUUAAACCAGAGGAAGGUUGCGGCAAUAACAGGUCUGUGAUGCCCUUAGAUGUUCCGGGCUGCACACGUGAUACAUUGAUUACUUCAGUGAGUAUCUACGUAUUACUGCGCAGCAGUAUACGCGUGUUGUUUAUUGCUUCGGCAAUUUACUUUGCGCUAUACGCCGCCUUAACCUACUUCGAAAGUAUGUGGGUAACCAAUUAGAAGUAGUGAUUUCCCUCUUUAUAAGCACACUUAUAUGGAGCAUCAUCACCCGGCAUGCCUUGUGCAUGUUUUGUGUGUGUUGUUUGUCUACAUGUGCUUUUGUCAAUUCAUAGUGGGGACAGACCAUUGUUAAUUGUUGGUCUCGGUCUUAACUAGGAAUGCCUUGUACGAGUUUUUGGUUCAACAAACCACUCGGAAUACGUCCCUGCCCUUUGUACACACCGCCCGUCGCUCUUACCGAUGGAUUAUAUUAUGAGUUGGCAGGACCGUCCAGGAAAUGCCUGCGAAUAAUGUGAUCUAAAGGAAAGAGAAGUCGAACAAGGCA
rnacentral:rRNA from 1 species